CAGUCGCCGCGGUAAUACGAAGGGGGCUAGCGUUGUUCGGAUUUACUGGGCGUAAAGCGCACGUAGGCGGAUCCUUAAGUCAGAGGUGAAAUCCCAUGGCUCAACCUUGGAACUGCCUUUGAUACUGGGGAUCUCGAGUUCGGGAGAGGUGAGUGGAACUGCGAGUGUAGAGGUGAAAUUCGUAGAUAUUCGCAAGAACACCAGUGACGAAGGCGGCUCACUGACCCGAUACUGACGCUGAGGUGCGAAAGCGUGGGGAGCAAACAGGAUUAGAUACCCAGUAGUCCCUGUCUCUUAUACA
rnacentral:rRNA from 1 species